ensembl:snoRNA LOC120100410 small nucleolar RNA SNORA48
CCCCCCUGACAAUGGGCAAAGAGAUCCCUUGUUCAUGGUGUUGUUCUUAUAUUAGUCAGGACCAGAGUAGACGGCAUCUCUUUGAUCAUCAUAGCUUGAUGGCUGGCUUGGUGGCAAAGCUGUUUUAUGACUAGGACACAGAA